rnacentral:SRP_RNA from 1 species
GCCGGAAGCGGUGGCAUGUGCCUGUAGUCCCAGCCACUCAGGGGGCUGACGUGGGAGGAUCACUUGAGACCAGGAGUUCUGGACUGUAGUGCGCUAUGCCAAUUGGGUGUCCAUGCUAAGUUUGGCAUCAAUAUGGUGACCUCCCGGGAGUGGAGGACCACUAGGUUGCCUGAGGAGGGGUGACCUGGCCCAGAUCGGAAAUGGAGCAGGUCAAAACUCCUGUGCUGAUCAGUAGUGGGAUUGCACCUGUGAAUAGUCACUGCACUCCAGCCUGGGCAACAUAGCAAGACCCCAUCUCU